rfam:Otolemur garnettii contig185000, whole genome shotgun sequence.
AGGACCUGUUUACUGAAAAUUAUAAAAUAUCAAUGAAAGAAAUUAAGGAUUAUAAUACACCCAACAGGAAUCUGGGGUCAUUGUGAUGAGGGGUACAAAACUUGUGGCCUGCCUACAAACAAAUUCCCUACAUGU